UACACCUAAAACGCUCCUCUCAGACCCCUCUCAUUCUCUCACUAUUUCACCACCGUCCGUCGCUACCGAAAAUCAUCCGCGAUGGUGGGCCACCACCAAUCAACCCCAAAAUUUCACCAGAUGAUCCUCGUCCCUUCCCCAUUCCUAAUAUAACCUUGGCCUUUGAAACCCUCUAGAACUCGUCCAAUAGUAGAUCUAAAAUUAAAAAAAAAAACAUAAUCUAUCUUUUCUUGAUUCCUUCUCAAAGGCAACUCGUUCUGACUCGAAAUCCACGUUGAUCAAUUUCUCUUGACGAGAGAAAUCGAUUGAUGUUGGUUUUGGUUUAUUCUGAGAUCACUGGAUUUUGGUCAACUGACCAUUGACCGGCCAGAGCCCUUUGAAAACCUUGCUGAUUGUUCCAAUUUGAACUCCGAUUAGUUUCGAGCCCAAAUCAAGCAAUGGUGAAGUUCUAUGUGUCGGAUUUGCCAAAUUAACAGGAAAAUGCGAGUGAGGUUGGAAAAUAGGAAUGUGUGCAUAGCUUCAACUUUAAUGAAAUUAUUAGGUUUAGCUAUUAGAAAAAUUAACCAAAUGUAAUAAACUCAAUCAGUAAGGAUUGUAAUCUCUUAUUUUCGUUCUGAUUAUAAUUGUAAUUUAAUUGAAAAGCCAAUUUUUGUAAUUUUAAUUGUUAAGCUUCUGAUA